rnacentral:rRNA from 1 species
CAGCAGCCGCGGUAAUACAGAGGGUGCGAGCGUUAAUCGGAUUUACUGGGCGUAAAGCGUGCGUAGGCGGCUUUUUAAGUCGGAUGUGGAAUCCCUGAGCUUAACUUAGGAAUUGCAUUCGAUACUGGGAAGCUAGAGUAUGGGAGAGGAUGGUAGAAUUCCAGGUGUAGCGGUGAAAUGCGUAGAGAUCUGGAGGAAUACCGAUGGCGAAGGCAGCCAUCUGGCCUAAUACUGACGCUGAGGUACGAAAGCAUGGGGAGCAAACAGGAUUAGAUACCCCAGUAGUCCCUGUCUCUUAUAA